rnacentral:rRNA from 1 species
AUUGAACGCUGGCGGCAUGCCUUACACAUGCAAGUCGAACGGUAACAGGUCUUCGGAUGCUGACGAGUGGCGAACGGGUGAGUAAUACAUCGGAACGUGCCUAGUAGUGGGGGAUAACUACUCGAAAGAGUGGCUAAUACCGCAUGAGAUCUACGGAUGAAAGCAGGGGAUCGCAAGACCUUGUGCUACUAGAGCGGCCGAUGGCAGAUUAGGUAGUUGGUGGGAUAAAAGCUUACCAAGCCGACGAUCUGUAGCUGGUCUGAGAGGACGAUCGGCCACACUGGGACUGAGAAACGGCCCAGACUCCUACGGGAGGCAGCAGUGGAGAAUUUUGGACAAUGGGCGAAAGCCUGAUCCAGCAAUGCCGCGUGCAGGAUGAAGGCCUUCGGGUUGUAAACUGCUUUUGUACGGAACGAAAAGCCCCGGGUUAAUACCCUGGGGUCGUGACGGUACCGUAAGAAUAAGCACCGGCUAACUACGUGCCAGCCGCCGCCGUAA